CCAGUCAGACCAGUGCAUGAUAAGAAAAGUGUAUGUAAAUACAGGUGUGUGAUUGAGAGACGGGACUAACCAGGUGGAACUGGAGCCUCCAAGGGUCGCGGCAAAGUUCUGCUUUAGGGACACUUUCAGGGGUCACCUGGAGCGCGACCGGGGAUGCCGAAUCCCUCCUGAUGACCGUCAUGCUUGCUUCAGCAGUUUGUAAGGGGCGUCAGCGUGGUGGUGGGACUGGUGGGCUCGCAAGGAGCAUGUUGUUGUCAAAACAAAAUAGCUAUAGAGUAUUGACAUCCCUUAAACGCCUUAAACUGCGAAUAAAGGUUUUGCAAACGAGGUAAACAAUUUUGUCUCGGACGACGUCACAAAAAUGUUACCUUACAUUUAUACGAAAUGUAUUUCUUUGUCAUUUAAUCUGCAAUGUGCAAGUUGACCUUAAAAUUAAACAAUUUAAAAUAUUUUUGAUGCAGCGCUGCGAUAAUAAAGUUAAAUUUUGGAAGAAAAUUAAAUAAUCUAUGUAAUUUGACCAAAUGCCACUGCACAUAAACUGAUUUUGUAGCACAAGAAUAUUAUGGAAUAAAAAUUUAUAAAUUAAAUUGAUUAGACAUACAGUAUUCACCGGAUGACUGCUGGCUGGUUGACGUCGUCGGUGCUGGUCCUUCAGCAGGCCAGGCCGGCGGACAGGACCUAGUUGCAACGAUGCACCUGAUCCCAACAUUGGCACCUUCACCUUAGAUGUGAAUUUCUAUCAUCGCCAAACAAAGACACAGAUGACCGGCGUCCAGCCGCAAAUUCAGAUGGAAGGAGUCCAGCCGCCGCCGCAGGAUCAAGUGGACGGGCUCGAGCCACAGCAGCAAAUUGAGCCACCAGUCCAGAACGAGGGAGACGGCCAAGAGGCACCGGACCAGGACGAGGGGGACGGUCUUGAGCCUCCAGUCCAGGACGAGGUGAACGAAGUUGAGUCACCAUCAAAGCAAAAUCAGCAUUGCCAGAACGUUCAGCCACUGCCGAGUGAGAAUUGGAAUCGGCUGGACGAAGUAGACAGCCUUGAGCAGCCAGCCGAGAACGAGGAAAACGCCCAAGAGGCAACUGAUGAGGACGAGGGGGACACUCUUGAGACUUGAGUCCAGGAGGAGGUUGAGUCACCAGCAUCAACGAACGUGAACGUGGAGAGUGUUCACCCACUGCCGAGUGAGAAUCGGCCGCUGGACAAGGUGGAUGGCCUUGACCCACCAGUCCAGGACGAGGGGGACGCCCAAGAGGCACCUGACCAGGACGAGGGGGACGGUCUUGAGCCUCCAGUCCAGGACGAGGUGAACGAAGUUGAGUCACCAUCAAAGCAUAAUCAGCAUUGCCAGAACGAGUGUUCAGCCGCUGCCGAGUGAGAAUAAAAAUCAGCUGGACGCUGAAGGCCAGCCUAAUGUUAUUGCUGAGGGACCGUUUGCUUGAGGAUGUGGCUUUUCGUUAUGUUAAUUUGCUAUUUUGAAUUCUUCACCAAGGAACAAUUGUAUAAUGUAGCAUAGAUAUGUAAAAUUAUUAUAAAGAUGCAUGAUGAUCUUAAUGUUAAUUAAAAAUACGUAUUAUUCAUUAGCCUUCGUGAUGACAGAACUAUAUAUUUGUACUUAUCAUUUAUGACAAGGAAUUCUACUGUAGUAUGCGCUCAGUUAUUAAUUUGACAGAGGAAUAGCAUGCCAUUCUUGCCAAUGCCCGAGCAGAGCUUUAUCUUGAUGCCACGCAUAAAAGGGGUAUAUUAUUUCAAAGAUAAUUAAAUCCUCAAUGAAGAAUU